ACGAACGCUGGCGGCAUGCCUAACUCCUGCAAGUCGAACGAGACCUUUGGGUCUAGUGGCGCACGGGUGCGUAACGCGUGGGAACCUGCCCUUAGGUUCGGAAUAACUCCCCGAAAGGGGUGCUAAUACCGGAUAAUGUCCUCGGACCAAAGAUUUAUUGCCUUUGGAUGGGCCCGUGUUGGAUUAGCUAGUUGGUAGGGUAAAAGCCUACCAAGGCGACGAUCCAUAGCUGGUCUGAGAGGAUGAUCAGCCACACUGGGACUGAGACACGGCCCAGACUCCUACGGGAAGCAGCAGUGGGGAAUAUUGGACAAUGGGCGAAAGCCUGAUCCAGCAAUGCCGCGUGAGUGAUGAAGGCCUUAGGGUUGUAAAGCUCUUUUACCCGGGAUGAUAAUGACAGUACCGGGAGAAUAAGCUCCGGCUAACUCCGUG
rnacentral:rRNA from 1 species